UCGCGUGAGGGAAGACGGCCCUACGGGUUGUAAACCUCUUUUGUCAGGGAGCAAGAGGCGGGUCGAGACCUGCUGUGAGAGUACCUGAAGAAAAAGCAUCGGCUAACUCCGUGCCAGCAGCCGCGGUAAUACGGAGGAUGCGAGCGUUAUCCGGAUUUAUUGGGUUUAAAGGGUGCGCAGGCGGAGGCACAAGUCAGCGGUAAAAUCGCGGGGCUCAACCCCGCUCCGCCGUUGAAACUGUGUCCCUUGAGUGCGCGAAGGGUAGGCGGAAUGCGUGGUGUAGCGGUGAAAUGCAUAGAUAUCACGCAGAACUCCGAUCGCGAAGGCAGCCUACCGGCGCGCAACUGACGCUCAUGCACGAAAGCGUGGGUAUCGAACAGGAUUAGAUACCCUGGUAGUCCACGCAGUAAACGAUGAAUGCUAUCUGUCCGGCCGGAAUGACGGCUGG
rnacentral:rRNA from 1 species